UUUCUUCUAGGCUCCGAUACAUCUUGACUGAAUUAUGAGCCGAGGUUGUAGCUGGCCCUUCAUCGGGCAUGUGCACGCCUCCUUCACAAUCCACACACACCUGUGCACCUUUGCGUGAGUUAGGGAGACGGCUUCACGGCCGCAGUACCGGCUCGCGUCCUUUACACACCCUUUUGUAUGUCUUAAGAAUGUCUUUUCGAUGUAAUAAAACGCAUCUAAUACAACUUUCAACAACGGAUCUCUUGGCUCUCGCAUCGAUGAAGAACGCAGCGAAAUGCGAUAAGUAAUGUGAAUUGCAGAAUUCAGUGAAUCAUCGAAUCUUUGAACGCACCUUGCGCCCUUUGGUAUUCCGAAGGGCACACCUGUUUGAGUGUCGUGAAAUUCUCAACUCCCCUUCACUUUUGUGAGGUGGGGCUUGGACUUGGAGGCUUUGCCGGCUUUGCUCGGCUCCUCUCAAAUGCAUCAGUAUGUCUUGUUGCGACGUACCCUCGGUGUGAUAAUUAUCUACGCUGCGGUGUGCUUGCUUCUGUUGAGACAGGCUUUCAAACCGUCCGAGAGGACAAUUCAUCGAACCUUGACCUCAAAUCAGGUGGGACUACCCGCUGAACUUAAGCAUAUCAAAGGCCGGAGGAAA
rnacentral:rRNA from 1 species